UGCGGAGGAUGCGAGCGUUAUCCGGAUUUAUUGGGUUUAAAGGGUGCGUAGGCGGCUUAGUAAGUCAGCGGUGAAAUUUUGCAGCUUAACUGUAACAGUGCCGUUGAUACUGCCAGGCUAGGAUUUGGUUGCUGUGGGUGGAAUGUGUGGUGUAGCGGUGAAAUGCUUAGAUAUCACACAGAAUAUCGAUUGCGAAGGCAGCUCACAAAGCCAAGAUUGACGCUGAGGCACGAAAGUGUGGGGAUCAAACA
rnacentral:rRNA from 1 species